rnacentral:rRNA from 1 species
AUGAAUAUCGCCCUCCUUUCCCGCUGGUUGUGGCGCAUCUCGCAAGGGCACGGCGGGUUAUGGCUAGACAUCAUUAGGACUAAAUACCGGCGUGGCCAACCUCUGGCUUUCUGUCAACGGUCUGGUGGAUCCCAGUUCUGGCAAUCAGUCAUCCAGCUGCUUCCCGUCCUCCGCAUUGGGACGUUCAUAUCGGUCGGAUCGAGAUCAGCGACCAUGUUCUGAUUUGACCGUUGGGCGGGAGACACCCCCUUUGCGGCUCGCUUCCCCGACCUCUUCUCUAUCGCUGUCAUCCCGUUGAUCUCCGUGGAACGGGCCCUUAUUGACUUAGGGCGCCUCGCGUUCCAGAAGCCAUUUGGACCUCCGGAAGCUGCCGCUUGGCAGGAGCUUCUUGACUGCAUCGCUCUCCACGAGCCGGCUGUCGACGCAGGCCCGGAUGAGGUCAGGUGGCGUCUUGAGCCCUCAGGCCAAUUCUCCACCAAGUCCCUCUACUCGGCCAUUGCCCCCUCCCCCGCCCCCCUCCAGGCAGUGUGGCCCAUUCGUCUGCCCUUAAAGAUCGGAUCUUCAUGUGGCAAUGGAUCCGCGGGCGGCUCCCGUCUGGGGUCGAGGUCCGCAAGCGCAAUGGCCCUGGCUCCGGACUUUUCCCUCUCUGUGGUACUCCCGAGGAUUGGUGCCACACUAACUUCCCCGACCUCUUCGCCGAACUCCAGACCUCCCCUCUGCCUACUCGCCACAUUAGGUGGCUUGAGAUUGGGGCUAUCGCGUGGACUCUCUGGACGAUUCGCAAUAAACUUGUGA